rnacentral:rRNA from 1 species
UACGUGGGGUGCAAGCGUUAAUCGGAAUUACUGGGCGUAAAGCGUGCGCAGGCGGUGAUGUAAGACAGGUGUGAAAUCCCCGGGCUUAACCUGGGAACUGCAUUUGUGACUGCAUCGCUGGAGUGCGGCAGAGGGGGAUGGAAUUCCGCGUGUAGCAGUGAAAUGCGUAGAUAUGCGGAGGAACACCGAUGGCGAAGGCAAUCCCCUGGGCCUGCACUGACGCUCAUGCACGAAAGCGUGGGGAGCAAACAGG